UGGCAAGAAAAUACAAUGCAACAUGCAUGAUC
rnacentral:piRNA from 1 species